GAUGAACGCUGGCGGCGUGCCUAAUACAUGCAAGUCGAGCGAACGGACGAGAAGCUUGCUUCUCUGACGUUAGCGGCGGACGUGUGUGUAACGCGUGGAUAAUCUACUUAUCAGACUGGUAUCACCUCGGGACACCGGCGCUUACCCCGUAUAAUAUUCUGAACCGCAUGGUUCAAAGGUGAAUGUCGGUCGUGCUGUCACUUCUCGCUGGUUCCGCGCUGCAUUAGCUAGUUGGUAAGGUAACGGCGUACCAAGGCAACGAUGCAUAACCGAGCGGAGAGGAUGGUCGGCCACACUGGGACUGAGACACGGUCCAGACUCCUACGGGAGGCGGCAGUAGGGAAUCUUCCGCAAUGGGCGAAAGACUGACGGAACAACGCCGCGUGAGUAAUGAAGGUCGUCGGAUCGUAAAACUCUGUUAUUAGGGAAGAACAUAUGUGUAAGUAACUGUGCACAUCUUGACGGUACCUAAUCAGAGAGCCACGGCUAACUACGUG
rnacentral:rRNA from 1 species